AUGACUGUAUCAUUUAUUGGAAUGAGUAUGAAGACCGAACAGUGUCGAAAGUGCGAGGAACCCCGAUUAAAGCAGGGAAAGCAAACUCCUCAUAAGGUUGUAUUGUACUUUCCUAUCAUUCCUUGUUUGCAGUGUCUAUAUGCCAACAAGAAAGACGCGGAGCACUUGCGUUGCCACAAAGAUAGGAAGCUGGUGGGUAAAGACGACGACGUGUUGAGGCACACUGCAAAUGGUUUGCCAAUGGAAAGCACUCAACUAUUGAUACCCGGAAUUCACAUCAGAAGCAAGGAACAUCGUGUUGGGUGUGAGUACGGAUGGAAUUAA
rnacentral:rRNA from 1 species